rnacentral:rRNA from 1 species
UACGGAGGGUGCGAGCGUUGUCCGGAAUCAUUGGGCGUAAAGGGCGCGUAGGUGGCCCGGUCAGUCUUUGGUGAAAGCGCGGGGCUCAACCCUGCGUCGGCCAGGGAUACUGCCGCGGCUCGAGCACUGUAGAGGCAGGCGGAAUUCCGGGUGUAGCGGUGGAAUGCGUAGAGAUCCGGAAGAACACCGGUGGCGAAGGCGGCCUGCUGGGCCGUUUAGCUGACACUGAGGCGCGACAGCGUGGGGAGCAAACAGG